rnacentral:lncRNA from 1 species
GUGCUCACCUGGCAACACUGGCUGUGGCUGAGGAGUGGUGUUCCUCUACACAGAGCCUGGGCUUUCCUCCAGACUUGCUGCCCUCAUGCAAGCCCCCUGCCUGAUGUCACCUGCCUGAUGCUGGUGCUUUUCGACUGCUGUAUCUAUGAAGGGAGAAGCAUUUGCUGCUGAAAACACUUGAGAGUAAAGUUUAGCAGAGUAAGAGAGACAUAAAUCUAGAGGUUUGGGGUAGUUUUUUUUUAAAGGAUGUAUCAUUCGUUUAUUUUAAAAAGUCUAAGAAGAAAAGAGGAGAGCAGCGGACACAUUUGAGAGCAUUUGAGGGUUAGAAAAGAUUUACAUCUUA